GAUGAAGACGCAGCGAAAUGCGAUACUUGGUGUGAAUUGCAGAAUCCCGUGAACCAUCGAGUCUUUGAACGCAAGUUGCGCCCGAAGCCAUUAGGCCGAGGGCACGCCUGCCUGGGCGUCACACGUCGUUGCCCCCCCAUCUACUCCUUCGGGAUUGCGGGGGGCGGAUGAUGGCCUCUCGUGCGCCUCGUCGCGCGGUUGGCCUAAAUGCCAAGUCCUCGGCGACGCACGCCACGACAAUCGGUGGUUGCGAAACCUCGGUUGCCUGUCGUGUGCGGUCGUCGCGCAUCGAGGGCUCGAAAAAAUUGCCGGGCUUCGGCUCGACUUUCAACGCGACCCCAGGUCAGGCGGGGUUACCCGCUGAAUUUAAGCAUAUCAAUAAGCGGAGGA
rnacentral:misc_RNA from 1 species